CCUACGGGUGGCAGCAGUGAGGAAUAUUGGUCAAUGGGCGAGAGCCUGAACCAGCCAAGUCGCGUGAGGGAGUACUGCCCUAUGGGUUGUAAACCUCUUUUGUCGGGGAGCAAAAGCCGGACGUGUCCGGCUGUGAGAGUACCCGAAGAAAAAGCAUCGGCUAACUCCGUGCCAGCAGCCGCGGUAAUACGGAGGAUGCGAGCGUUAUCCGGAUUUAUUGGGUUUAAAGGGUGCGCAGGCGGGAGAUCAAGUCAGCGGUAAAAUGUCGGGGCUCAACCCCGGCCGGCCGUUGAAACUGGUUUUCUAGAGUUGGAGAGAAGUAUGCGGAAUUCGUGGUGUAGCGGUGAAAUGCAUAGAUAUCACGAAGAACUCCGAUUGCGAAGGCAGCAUACCGGCUCCAUACUGACGCUGAGGCACGAAAGCGUGGGGAUCGAACAGGAUUAGAUACCCUUGUAGUC
rnacentral:rRNA from 1 species